UUCAAUCAUAAGAAACCAGGA
rnacentral:piRNA from 1 species